CGGGCGUCUUAACAUGCAAGUCGAGCGGCAGGCAGCAAUGCCGAGAGCGGCGGACUGGUGAGUAACACGUGGAUAACGUACCCCGAUGUCCGGGACAGCCUGUAGAAAUAGAGGGUAAUACCGGAUAGAUCACUGUUUACGUGAGGUAGACAGCGGGAAAGGAGCUUCGGCUCCGCGCCGGGAACGGUCUGCGGCCCAUCAGCUGGACGGCGGGGUAAAGGCCCGCCGUGGCGAGGACGGGUAUCCGGCCUGAGAGGGCGGACGGACACAUUGGGACUGAGAUACGGCCCAGACUCCUACGGGAGGCAGCAGGUAAGAAUAUUCCGCAAUGGGGGGAACCCUGACGGAGCGACGCCGCGUGAACGAAGAAGGCCGGAAGGUUGUAAAGUUCUUUUCCGUCCGAGGAAUAAGUGUAGGAGGAAAUGCCUGCAUGGUGACGGUAGGGCAGGAAUAAGCCCGGCUA
rnacentral:rRNA from 1 species